rnacentral:tRNA from 1 species
GGAGAGCUGGCAGAGCGGUUUAAUGCACUAGUCUUGAAAACUAGCGAAGGCUUCUGGUCUUCCGUGGGUUCGAAUCCCACGCUCUCCUCCA